rnacentral:rRNA from 1 species
UGAAAGGCCAAUCAAACCGGGAGAUAGCUGGUUCUCCCCGAAAUCUAUUUAGGUAGAGCCUUGAGCGGACACCUUCGGGGGUAGAGCACUGUUUCGGCUAGGGGUCCAUCCCGGAUUACCAACCCGAUGCAAACUACGAAUACCGAAGAGUGAUACUCAGGAGACACACGGCGGGUGCUAACGUCCGUCGUGGAGAGGGAAACAACCCAGACCGCCAGCUAAGGUCCCAAAGUCUAUAUUAAGUGGGAAACGAAGUGGGAAGGCUUAGACAGCUAGGAUGUUGGCUUAGAAGCAGCCAUCAUUUAAAGAAAGCGUAAUAGCUCACUAGUCGAGUCGGCCUGCGCGGAAGAUGUAACGGGGCUCAAAUAUAGCACCGAAGCUGCGGCAUCAGACGAAAGUCUGUUGGGUAGGGGAGCGUUCUGUAAGCGGAUGAAGGUGGCUCGAGAGGGCUGCUGGACGUAUCAGAAGUGCGAAUGCUGACAUAAGUAACGAUAAAACGGGUGAAAAACCCGUUCGCCGGAAGACCAAGGGUUCCUGUCCAACGUUAAUCGGGGCAGGGUGAGUCGGCCCCUAAGGCGAGGCUGAAAAGCGUAGUCGAUGGGAAACGGGUUAAUAUUCCCGUACUUGGAUAAACUGCGAUGUGGGGACGGAGCAGGUUAGGUUAUCGCACUGUUGGAUAUGUGCGUUUAAGUUGGUAGGUGUGAAGUUUAGGCAAAUCCGGACUUCUUUAACACCGAGAGAUGAUGACGAGGCUCUACGGAGCUGAAGUAACCGAUACCACACUUCCAGGAAAAGCCACUAAGCUUCAGGUUUAUCUAAACCGUACUGAAAACCGACACAGGUGGUCAGGUAGAGAAUACUCAGGCGCUUGAGAGAACUCGGGUGAAGGAACUAGGCAAAAUAGCACCGUAACUUCGGGAGAAGGUGCGCCGGCGUAGAUUGUAGUCCCUUGCGGAUGAAGGUUGAACCGGUCGAAGAUACCAGCUGGCUGCAACUGUUUAUUAAAAACACAGCACUCUGCAAACACGAAAGUGGACGUAUAGGGUGUGAUGCCUGCCCGGUGCUGGAAGGUUAAUUGAUGGUGUAAUCGAAAGAGAAGCUCCUGAUCGAAGCCCCAGUAAACGGCGGCCGUAACUAUAACGGUCCUAAGGUAGCGAAAUUCCUUGUCGGGUAAGUUCCGACCUGCACGAAUGGCAUAAUGAUGGCCAGGCUGUCUCCACCCGAGACUCAGUGAAAUUGAAAUCGCCGUGAAGAUGCGGUGUACCCGCGGCUAGACGGA